rnacentral:rRNA from 1 species
UGGGGAAUAUUGGACAAUGGGGGGAACCCUGAUCCAGCAAUGCCGCGUGAGUGAAGAAGGCCUUCGGGUUGUAAAGCUCUUUUGUCAGGGAAGAAACGGUAGUAGCGAAUAACUAUUACUAAUGACGGUACCUGAAGAAUAAGCACCGGCUAACUACGUGCCAGCAGCCGCGGUAAUACGUAGGGUGCAAGCGUUAAUCGGAAUUACUGGGCGUAAAGCGUGCGCAGGCGGUUGUGUAAGUCAGAUGUGAAAUCCCCGGGCUCAACCUGGGAAUUGCAUUUGAGACUGCACGGCUAGAGUGUGUCAGAGGGGGGUAGAAUUCCACGUGUAGCAGUGAAAUGCGUAGAUAUGUGGAGGAAUACCGAUGGCGAAGGCAGCCCCCUGGGAUAACACUGACGCUCAUGCACGAAAGCGUGGGGAGCAAACAGGAUUAGAUACCCGGGUAGUCCCUGAGCGGGCUGGCAAGGCGCAU